rnacentral:rRNA from 1 species
UACCAGCUCUUCGAGUGGUGUGGAUGUUUAUUGGGCCUAAAGCAUCCGUAGCUGGCUGGGCAAGUCCCCUGUUAAAUCCACCGAUUUAAUCGUUGGAGUGCGGGGGAUACUGUUCGGCUAGGGGACGGGAGAGGCAGACGGUAUUUUCGGGGUAGGGGUGAAAUCCUAUAAUCCCGGGAAGACCACCAGUGGCGAAGGCUGUCUGCUAGAACGCGCCCGACGGUGAGGGAUGAAAGCUGGGGGAGCGAACCGGAUUAGAUACCCGGGUAGUCCCAGCUGUAAACGAUGCAGGCUAGGUGUUUGGGCGGCCACGUGCCGCUCUAGUGCCGCAGGGAAGCCGUUAAGCCUGCCGCCUGGGGAGUACGGCCGCAAGGCUGAAACUUAAAGGAAUUGGCGGGGGAGCACCACAAGGGGUGAAGCCUGCGGUUU